GACGAACGCUGGCGGCGUGCCUAAUACAUGCAAGUAGAACGCAGUUGCGAACGGGUGAGUAACGCGUAGGUAACUGCCCCAUAGCGGGGGAUAACUAUUGGAAACGAUAGCUAAUACCGCAUACUGUGAGAUGGACCUGCGUUGUAUUAGCUAGUUGGUGGGGUAAAGGCUCACCAAGGCGACGAUACAUAGGCGACCUGGGAGGGUGGUCCACCAAACUGGGACUUAGAACCGGGCCAGACUCCCUCGGGGGGCAACAGUUGGGGAACUUCGGAAAAGGGCGGAAGUCUGGCCGAGGAACGCCGCGUGGGUGGAGAAGGUUUUCGGAGCGUAAAACUCUUUUGUGAGAGGAGCGGUAACUAACCAGGAAGGGACGGCUAACUACGUGCCAGCAGCCGCGGUAAUAC
rnacentral:rRNA from 1 species